UCCGUAGGCGGUUUAAUAAGUCAGUGGUGAAAGCCCAUCGCUCAACGGUGGAACGGCCAUUGAUACUGUUAGACUUGAAUUAUUAGGAAGUAACUAGAAUAUGUAGUGUAGCAGUGAAAUGCUUAGAGAUUACAUGGAAUACCAAUUGCGAAGGCAGGUUACUACUAAUGGAUUGACGCUGAUGGACGAAAGCGUGGGUAGCGAACA
rnacentral:rRNA from 1 species